rnacentral:ncRNA from 2 species
CGUUAGAGCAGCAUAAACAUUCGUAUAAUUCCGGGAAUCGGCCCGGAAGUCUCUACGAGGUCACCGUAAUGACCUGGCUACGAUUAUGAAGAGCAAGGCC